rnacentral:lncRNA from 1 species
GUUCAUAUUUCAGGAAACAAUGAGCUAAGACUUACAUGUAAGAUGUCUAAAUCUACGCCAUAUCCCUUACAAACCUUAACGAUAAUUCGCUGAAAUACAAGUUAGCCUAAUAUGUCAUUAAGCAAACAAACGCUGGAGUUAAUAUUUGAUAUGCCGAUUUUCGCUAAUUUUAGACACAUUCCAAAAUAUGCUCCCCAUUUUUAACAUUAAUAUAUCCGCGAAUUUUUAAGUUAAAUACAACUGUAAUAUAUCAAAAUCUAAGUUAGUCCUUCCUCUAU